GGCGGUAGGCUUUAUACAUGCAAGUCGAGCGGUAACAGACGUUUUGAUUCAGCUUGCUGAAUCUAGUGCUGACGAGCGGCGAACGGGUGAGUAACGCGUAGGAAUCUGCCUAGUAGUGGGGGAUAGCCCGAGGAAACUCGGAUUAAUACCGCAUACACCCUACGGGGAAAAGGGGGCGUCUUAGACGCUCUCACUAUUAGAUGAGCCUGCGUAAGAUUAGUUUGUUGGUAGGGUAAUUGCCUACCAAAACUACGAUCUUUAGCUGGUCUGAGAGGACGACCAGCCACAUUGGGACUGAGACACGGCCCAGACUCCUACGGGAGGCAGCAGUAAGGAAUUUUGGACAAUGGGGGCAACCCUGAUCCAGCUAUACCGCGUGUGUGAAGAAGGCCUUAGGGUUGUAAAGCACUUUAAGCAUUGAAGAAAGGAAAUAAGUUAAUACCUUAUUUCUUUGACAUUAUCUGCAGAAUAAGUACCGGCUAACUCCGUGCCAGCAGCCGCGGUAAUACGGAGGGUACAAGCGUUAAUCGGAAUUACUGGGCGUAAAGCGCGCGUAGGUGGCAAAGUAAGUUGGAUGUGAAAGCCCUGGGCUCAACCUAGGAACUGCAUUCAAAACUACUUAGCUAGAGUACGAGAGAGGAGAGUAGAAUUUCUGGUGUAGCGGUGAAAUGCGUAGAUAUCAGAAGGAAUACCAAUGGCGAAGGCAGCUCUCUGGCUCGUUACUGACACUAAGGUGCGAAAGCGUGGGUAGCAAACAGGAUUAGAUACCCUGGUAGUCCACGCCGUAAACGAUGAGAACUAGCCGUUGGGAGGAAUUAACCUUUCAGUGGCGCAGCUAACGCAUUAA
rnacentral:rRNA from 1 species